UGUUAGCGGCGGACGGGUGAGUAACACGUGGAUAACCUACCUAUAAGACUGGGAUAACUUCGGGAAACCGGAGCUAAUACCGGAUAAUAUUUUGAACCGCAUGGUUCAAAAGUAAAAGACGGUCUUGCUGUCACUUAUAGAUGGAUCCGCGCUGCAUUAGCUAGUUGGUAAGGUAACGGCUUACCAAGGCAACGAUGCAUAGCCGACCUGAGAGGGUUAUCGGCCACACUUGAACUGAGACACGGUCCAG
rnacentral:rRNA from 1 species